rnacentral:sRNA from 18 species
UUUCAUUUAAGCGAUGUAUUCCCUACCUCUAAUACAUCCUUGUAUCUCUCUAGACACGCCAGUUUUGAAUAAAAUCAUCAAAACAAUU